rnacentral:rRNA from 1 species
AGAGUUCGAUUCUGGCUCAGGAUGAACGCUGGCGGCGUGCUUAACACAUGCAAGUCGAACGAAGCGAUUUGAAUGAAGUUUUCGGAUGGAUUUCAGAUUGACUGAGUGGCGGACGGGUGAGUAACGCGUGGGUAACCUGCCCCAUACAGGGGGAUAACAGUUAGAAAUGACUGCUAAUACCGCAUAAGCGCACAGCAUCGCAUGAUGCAGUGUGAAAAACUCCGGUGGUAUAAGAUGGACCCGCGUUGGAUUAGCUAGUUGGUGAGGUAACGGCCCACCAAGGCGACGAUCCAUAGCCGACCUGAGAGGGUGACCGGCCACAUUGGGACUGAGACACGGCCCAA